UACGUACUCCCUCUGUUUCCAAUUACUCGUCGCUGAAAUGGAUGUAUCUAGAACUAAAAUACAUCUAGAUACAUCCAUACGUGCGACAAGUAAUUCGGAGCGGAGGGAGUAGAUC
rfam:Triticum aestivum genome assembly, contig: Triticum_aestivum_CS42_TGACv1_scaffold_321508_4BL